rnacentral:piRNA from 1 species
UAAUGUGCACGAUAGGAUCAGGAGAGAGC